rnacentral:rRNA from 1 species
AACGAACGCUGGCGGCAUGCUUAACACAUGCAAGUCGAACGGGUUAGGGAGGAGACUUUCUAGCCAGUGGCAGACGGGUGAGUAAGACGUGGGAACGUACCCUUGGGUGGGGGAUAACCUUUGGAAACGAGGGCUAAUACCGCAUAAGUCCGUAAGGGGAAAGGCGCAAGUUGCCGAAGGGGCGGCCCACGGUUGAUUAGGUAGUUGGUGGUGUAAAGGCCUACCAAGGCGACGAUCAUUAGCUGGUCUGAGAGGACGAUCAGCCACACUGGGACUGAGACACAGCCCAGACUCCUACGGGAGGCAGCAGUGGGGAAUUUUGGACAAUGGGCGAAAGCCUGAUCCAGCAAUGCCGCGUGUGUGAAGAAGGCCUUCGGGUUGUAAAGCACUUUUGUCCGGAAAGAAAUGGCUCUGGUUAAUACCUGGGGUCGAUGACGGUACCGGAAGAAUAAGGACCGGCUAACUACGUGCCAGCAGCCGCCGUAA